rfam:Cylindrobasidium torrendii FP15055 ss-10 unplaced genomic scaffold CYLTOscaffold_3, whole genome shotgun sequence.
GCCCCACUUGUCUAAUGGCUAUGACGUCAGACUUCUAAUAGUAGCGAUCUGGAGGUUGCGGGUUCGAGUCCCGCGUGGGGUU